CCUACGGGAGGCAGCAGUGGGGAAUUUUGCGCAAUGGGGGAAACCCUGACGCAGCAACGCCUCGUGCGGGACGAAGGCCCUCGGGUUGUAAACCGCUUUCAGCAGGGAAGACUUUACGACGGUACCUGCAGAAGAAGCUCCGGCUAACUACGUGCCAUCAGCCGCGGUAAUACGUAGGUGGCGAGCGUUAUCCGGAGGCAUUGUGCGAAAAGCGCGCGUAGGCGGCCGCCUAAGCGGGACCUCAAACCCCGGGGCUCAACCCCGGGCCGGGUCCCGGACUGGGCGGCUCGAGUGCGGUAGAGGAGAGCGGAAUUCCCGGUGUAGCGGUGGAAUGCGCAGAUAUCGGGAAGAACACCGAUGGCGAAGGCAGCUCUCUGGGCCGUCACUGAUGCUGAGGCGCGAAAGCUGGGGGAGCGAACAGGAUUAGAUACCCUGGUAGUC
rnacentral:rRNA from 1 species